GUGCUUGCUUUGGCAGCACAUAUAUUAAAAUUGGAAUGAUAGAAAGAAGAUUAGCAUGACCCCUGUGCAAGGAUGGCAUGCAAAUCCAUGAAGGAUGGCAUGCAAAU